UCUCAAGCGUGAGGUAAGGGCAUCUGGUGAAUGCCUUGGCAUGUACAGGCGAUGAAGGACGUGGCACGCUGCGAUAAGCGUGGGGGAGCUGUGAGCAAGCUUUGAUCCCGCGAUUUCCGAAUGGGACAACCCACCUUCACCAUUUAAGACUGGUCCAGCUUCUGGCUGGCCCUGUGUUAAAUGAGAGAGGUAUCACUAAGCUGAAUAAAAUAGGCUUUGGUGAAGCGAACCCGGAGAACUGAAACAUCUCAGUACCCGGAGGAAAAGACAUCAACCGAGAUUCCGUUAGUAGUGGCGAGCGAACGCGGACCAGGCCAGCGCCUGAUAUUUAGUUAGCAGAACGAUCUGGAAAGUUCGGCCAUAGCGGGUGACAGCCCCGUAUGUGAAAGCGAAAUAUCAGGACUUGAGUAGGGCGGAGCACGUGAAACUCUGUCUGAACAUGGGGGGACCACCCUCCAAGCCUAAAUACUCGUACAUGACCGAUAGCGAACCAGUACCGUGAGGGAAAGGUGAAAAGCACCCCGAUGAGGGGAGUGAAACAGUACCUGAAACCGGAUGCCUACAAGCAGUGGGAGGGUCCUUGAGACCUGACCGCGUACCUCUUGCAUAAUGGGUCUGUGACUUAGUGUAUCAUGCAAGCUUAAGCCGUUAGGUGUAGGCGCAGCGAAAGCGAGUCUGAAUAGGGCGCCCAUGAGUAUGAUGCAUUAGACCCGAAACCCGGCGAUCUAGGCAUGACCAGGCUGAAGGUGCGGUAACACGCACUGGAGGGCCGAACCGUUUAAUGUUGAAAAAUUAUCGGAUGAGUUGUGUUUAGGGGUGAAAGGCCAAUCAAGCCGGGAAAUAGCUGGUUCUCCGCGAAAUCUAUUGAGGUAGAGCGUCGGAUGAUUGCCGUUGGGGGUAGAGCACUGGAUGGAUGCGGGGGUCGCGAGAUCUACCAAUUCUAACCAAACUCCGAAUACCAACGAGUCUAGUCCGGCAGACAGACGGCGGGUGCUAAGGUCCGUCGUCAAAAGGGAAACAGCCCUAACCUACAGCUAAGGUCCCCAAGUCACGUCUAAGUGGGAAAGCAUGUGGGAUUUCCAAAACAACCAGGAGGUUGGCUUAGAAGCAGCCAUCCUUUAAAGAAAGCGUAACAGCUCACUGGUCUAAAUAAGAGAUCCUGCGGCGAAGAUGUAACGGGGCUCAAGACGUGCACCGAAGCUUAGGGUUCAGUCCUUUGGACUGAGCGGUAGCGGAGCGUUCCGUAGGCCGUUGAAGCGGGAGGGUAACCGACCGUGGAGGUAUCGGAAGUGCGAAUGCAGACAUGAGUAGCGAUUAAGAGGGUGAGAUGCCCUCUCGCCGAAAUUCCAAGGGUUCCUGCUUAAAGCUAAUCUGAGCAGGGUAAGCCGGCCCCUAAGACGAGCCCGAAGGGGGUAGUCGAUGGGAACCACGUUAAUAUUCGUGGGCCUGGUGGUGUGUGACGGAUGGCGUAACUUGUUCGGCCUUAUUGGAUUGGUCCGGGCAGGGAAGUUGUCCCAGGAAAUAGCCCCACCGUAUAGACCGUACCCUAAACCGACACAGGUGGAAUGGUAGAGUAUACCAAGGCGUUUGAGAGAAGUAUCCUGAAGGAACUCGGCAAAUUGCCUCCGUACCUUCGGAAGAAGGAGGCCCCACAUAAGCGCAAGCUCUUGUGGGGGGCACAGGCCAGGGGGUAGCGACUGUUUAGCAAAAACACAGGGCUCUGCUAAGUCGGCUUCAAGACGACGUAUAGGGCCUGACGCCUGCCCGGUGCCUGAAGGUUAAGAGGAGGAGUGCAAGCUCUGAAUUGAAGCCCAGGUAAACGGCGGCCGUAACUAUAACGGUCCUAAGGUAGCGAAAUUCCUUGUCGGGUAAGUUCCGACCUGCACGAAUGGCGUAACGACUUCCCCACUGUCUCCAGGAUAUGCUCAGCGAAAUUGAAUUCUCCGUGAAGAUGCGGAGUACCCGCGGUUAGACGGAAAGACCCCGUGCACCUUUACUGCAGCUUCAGAGUGGCAUUAGGAAAGAACUGUGUAGCAUAGGUGGGAGGCUUUGAAGCGAUGACGCCAGUUGUCGUGGAGCCAUAGGUGAAAUACCACCCUGUUGUUUUCUGAUGUCUAACCUCGCACCGUUAUCCGGUGCAGGGACCCUCUGUGGCGGGUAGUUUGACUGGGGCGGUCGCCUCCUAAAGAGUAACGGAGGCGCGCGAUGGUGGGCUCAGGACGGUUGGAAACCGUCUGUUAGAGUGCAAUGGCAUAAGCCCGCCUGACUGCGAGACUGACAAGUCGAGCAGAGACGAAAGUCGGUCAUAGUGAUCCGGUGGUCCCUCGUGGAAGGGCCAUCGCUCAACGGAUAAAAGGUACGCCGGGGAUAACAGGCUGAUGAUUCCCAAGAGCUCAUAUCGACGGAAUCGUUUGGCACCUCGAUGUCGGCUCAUCACAUCCUGGGGCUGGAGCAGGUCCCAAGGGUUUGGCUGUUCGCCAAUUAAAGUGGUACGUGAGCUGGGUUCAGAACGUCGCGAGACAGUUUGGUCCCUAUCUGCCGUGGGCGUCGAAAUUUGAGAGGAGUUGACCCUAGUACGAGAGGACCGGGUUGAACAUACCUCUGGUGUACCUGUCGUCGUGCCAACGGCGCAGCAGGGUAGCUAUGUAUGGACGGGAUAACCGCUGAAAGCAUCUAAGCGGGAAGCCUCCCUCAAGAUAAGAUUUCAUCGAGCCGUGAUAGACCAUCACGUUGAUAGGCCGGGAUGUGGAAGUGCGGUAACGCA
rfam:Sphingomonas sp. SKA58 scf_1100007010442 genomic scaffold, whole genome shotgun sequence.